rnacentral:rRNA from 1 species
AACGCCAAGAACCUUACCAAGGCUUGACAUGAACCUGGAAAGGCGUAGAAAUACGUCCCCCACUUGUGGUCGGUUUACAGGUGGUGCAUGGUUGUCGUCAGCUCGUGUCGUGAGAUGUUGGGUUAAGUCCCGCAACGAGCGCAACCCUCGUUCUAUGUUGCCAGCACGUGAUGGUGGGGACUCAUAGGAGACUGCCGGGGUCAACUCGGAGGAAGGUGGGGAUGACGUCAAAUCAUCAUGCCCCUUAUGUCUUGGGCUUCACGCAUGCUACAGAUGGCCGGUACAAAGGGUUGCGAUACUGUGAGGUGGAGCUAAUCCCAAAAAGCCGGUCUCAGUUCGGAUUGGGGUCUGCAACUCGACCCCAUGAAGUCGGAGUCGCUAGUAAUCGCAGAUCAGCAACGCUGCGGUGAAUACGUUCCCGGGCCUUGUACACACCG